AGAGGUCCCGCCUGCCCUGUGACUGUAAGUUUAACGGCCGCGGUAUUUUGACCGUGCGAAGGUAGCGCAAUCACUUGUCUUUUAAAUGGAGACCUGUAUGAAUGGCAUAACGAGGGCUUAACUGUCUCCUCUUUCAAGUCAAUGAAAUUGAUCUCCCCGUGCAGAAGCGGGGAUACACACAUAAGACGAGAAGACCCUAUGGAGCUUUAGACACCAAGGCAGACCAUGUUAAAAACCCUAAAACAAAAGGCCAAACCAAAUGGGUCCUGCCCUAAUGUCUUUGGUUGGGGCGACCGCGGGGAAACACAAAACCCCCACGUGGAAUGAGAAUACCUCCUCUCACAGCCAAGAGCUCCCGCUCUAGUAAACAGAAAUUCUGACCAAAAAGAUCCGGCAAGACCGAUCAACGGACCGAGUUACCCUAGGGAUAACAGCGCAAUCCCCUUUUAGAGGCCAUAUCGACAAGGGGGUUUACGACCUCGAUGUUGGAUCAGGACAUCCUAAUGGUGCAGCCGCUAUUAAGGGUUCG
rnacentral:rRNA from 1 species